UAAUUGUCAGCUAAGUGGCGCACGGGUGAGUAAUGUAUAGAUAACCUGCCCUUAAGAAAGGAAUAACAGUUGGAAACGACUGCUAAUGCCCUAUAUGCCUUUAAUACAUAAGUAUGCAAGGGAAACGCUUUAGUGCUUAAGGAUGGGUCUGUAUGGUAUCAGCUUGUUGGUGAGGUAAUGGCUCACCAAGGCUAUGACGCCUAACUGGUUUGAGAGGAUGAUCAGUCACACUGGAACUGAGACACGGUCCAGACUCCUACGGGAGGCAGCAGUGGGGAAUAUUGCACAAUGGACGAAAGUCUGAUGCAGCAACGCCGCGUGGAGGAUGACACAUUUCGGUGCGUAAACUCCUUUUAUAUAGGAAGAUAAUGACGGUACUAUAUGAAUAAGCACCGGCUAACUCCGUGCCAGCAGCCGCGGUAAUACGGAGGGUGCAAGCGUUACUCGGAAUCACUGGGCGUAAAGAGCGUGUAGGCGGGUAUAUAAGUCAGAAGUGAAAUCCAAUAGCUCAACUAUUGAACUGCUUUUGAAACUGUAUACCUAGAAUGUGGGAGAGGUAGAUGGAAUUUCUGGUGUAGGGGUAAAAUCCGUAGAGAUCAGAAGGAAUACCGAUUGCGAAGGCGAUCUACUGGAACAUUAUUGACGCUGAGACGCGAAAGCGUGGGGAGCAAACAGGAUUAGAUACCCUGGUAGUCCACGCCCUAAACGAUGUACACUAGUUGUUGUGAGGCUCGACCUUGCAGUAAUGCAGUUAACACAUUAAGUGUACCGCCUGGGGAGUACGGUCGCAAGAUUAAAACU
rnacentral:rRNA from 1 species